AACACGUAAAGAAACCUAGCCUCAUAGACUGGGACAACUAUUGGAAACGAAUAGCUAAUACCGGAUAACAGCAUUAACUGCAUGGUUGAUGUUUAAAAGUUGGUUUUGCUAACACUAUGAGAUGGCUUUGCGGUGCAUUAGCUAGUUGGUGGGGUAAAGGCCUACCAAGGCGACGAUGCAUAGCCGACCUGAGAGGGUGAUCGGCCACACUGGGACUGAGACACGGCCCAGACUCCUACGGGAGGCAGCAGCG
rnacentral:rRNA from 1 species